rnacentral:misc_RNA from 1 species
GGCUUGAUGGCUUGAUUAUUUGGAUGAGAAACGCCUUUAUAAGGUUAGCUUUUGAGGGCAUCAUUACUAUUUUCUUUGAUUUUGACGAUUCUCCGGUUGCUGUUCUUGAUGAUGAUGAUGACAACUCCAUCCGGUUCAUAUGAGCCGUUGAUUUUGCAUAAAUUCCUCUUGGAUUCCUGUGCAGGCUGCACUUGAAUGAGCCUGGAUGGGUGGUGGGUGAGCAGAGGCACGCACGUCUUGUUGAAGAAGAUGAGUUAUUCUUGGUGGCCAUUGAAAUGAGCUAAUGUGUCUGUCUCUGUUUCUUUAUCUUUUAUAUUCAUGGAAUUUUUUUUAA